rnacentral:misc_RNA from 1 species
GGUGGAUGAAAAUUGAAAACUCAAAACUCACAACUCAAAAGAGAGAGAGACGCUUCGUGUAUUUGUGCAGAUCAAAACUCGAAUCGGGGAAUUUGGGUUUCUCCUGUAAUCUAGGGUUCAUAACUCCCCCCUUUCGGAUCUGCUAGGGUAUUGUGUGGAUCAUGACGAUUCCGGAUUCAACCUACAUGAUGGAAAACGGAUCUAUUGAAUUGCCGUGCACCUCUGAAGAAGAGGCAAGGAUCAUUCAAGAGCUUAUGAGCAAAGCUGAGUCCAAUUUGAAACAAGGCAAUCUUUAUUAUGUUGUUUCUAACAGGUGGUUCAUGGAUUGGCAGAGGUACAUUAGGAAGCCUCUUGGUGCUUAUCCAUUUAACGAGCAUGCUACCGAAUCUCUGCAUUCUCUUUUACCAAAUUCAGCUAAUAGACCUGGACCAAUUGAUAAUAGCGAUAUAAUAAUUAGAGAAGCUGACAGUGGAGAUGAUGAUCCACAGCUUCUCAGAACUUUGGAAGAAGGGCGUGAUUAUGUGUUGGUCCCACAAGAAGUAUG